GGCCUCCUGCUGCUUACCACAGGCUGUGUUCUUACAUUUACUGUAUAGAAAGAGGAGGCAGAAUAAACCCAUCCCAUACAUGCCUCAGCCCAGGCGAACUUAAUCACGUGGCCACAGGG
rnacentral:snoRNA from 1 species